CUGAAGAAAUUUGGACUACACCUUUCAAAAGCACAGCAUCAAAAGAAAGCAUCGUUCUCAUCAUAUGUUAAAAGAUAUUGAAAAAUUUGAGAAAUGUCCCAAUGAUUUCAUUCUCAUGGAACAUAAAUGGUUUAGUAACAAGGGUGCAACAAUGGAAAGAAAUAAAUGGCACAGAACUUUGCACACAUUGUUUACUCUGCAUUUAUCUAAGUUUAUUAACACAAAGGAAUAUUUUAUUGUAUAUUUUUUAAAGCUUCUAUAUACAAUGUUUUUAAGGUGAUGCAAUAAUCUGUGGUUGCAAAUUAACCAAUGCUGCACAGAUAGACACAACAGAAUCAAUAUAUGGUUUCAUUGUUAA